CCUACGGGUGUCCGCAGUGAGGAAUAUUGGUCAAUGUGCGCGAGCCUGAACCAGCCAAGUCGCGUGAAGGAUGACUGCCCUACGGGUUGUAAACUUCUUUUAUAAAGGAAUACAGUGAGGCACGUGUGCCUUUUUGUAUGUAUUUUAUGAAUAAGGAUCGGCUAACUCCGUGCCCGCAGCCGCGGUAAUACGGCGGAUCCGAGCGGUAUCCGGAUUUAUUGGGUUUAAAGGGAGCGUAGAUGGGUUGUUAAGUCAGUUGUGAAAGUUUGCGGCUCAACCGUAAGAUUGCAAUUGAUACUGGCAGCCGUGAGUACAGUUGAGGUAGGCGGAAUGCGUGGUGUAGCGGUGAAAUGCUUAGAUAUCACGAAGAACUCCGAUUGCGAAGGCAGCCUACUAAACUGCCACUGACAUUGAUGCUCGAAAGUGUGGGUAUCAAACAGGAGUAGAUACCCCUGUAGUC
rnacentral:rRNA from 1 species